rnacentral:rRNA from 1 species
UGGGGAAUAUUGGGCAAUGGAGGGAACUCUGACCCAGCGACGCCGCGUGCGGGAUGAAGGCCUUCGGGUUGUAAACCGCUUUCAGCAGGGAGGAAGCGAAAGUGACGGUACCUGCAGAAGAAGCACCGGCUAACUAUGUGCCAGCAGCCGCGGUAAUACAUAGGGUGCAAGCGUUGUCCGGAAUUAUUGGGCGUAAAGGGCGCGUAGGUGGGCAAGUAAGUCGGGUGUGAAAUUACCGGGCUUAACCCGAUAACUGCGUCCGAAACUGUUUGUCUUGAGUGCAGAAGAGGAGAGUGGAAUUCCCAGUGUAGCGGUGAAAUGCGUAGAUAUUGGGAGGAACACCAGUGGCGAAGGCGGCUCUCUGGUCUGCAACUGACACUGAAGCGCGAAAGCUAGGGGAGCAAACGGG